AUGUACGCUGGCGGCGUGCCUAAUACAUGCAAGUCGAGCGAACGGACGAGAAGCUUGCUUCUCUGAUGUUAGCGGCGGACGGGUGAGUAACACGUGGAUAACCUACCUAUAAGACUGGGAUAACUUCGGGAAACCGGAGCUAAUACCGGAUAAUAUUUUGAACCGCAUGGUUCAAAAGUGAAAGACGGUCUUGCUGUCACUUAUAGAUGGAUCCGCGCUGCAUUAGCUAGUUGGUAAGGUAACGGCUUACCAAGGCAACGAUGCAUAGCCGACCUGAGAGGGUGAUCGGCCACACUGGAACUGAGACACGGUCCAGACUCCUACGGGAGGCAGCAGUAGGGAAUCUUCCGCAAUGGGCGAAAGCCUGACGGAGCAACGCCGCGUGAGUGAUGAAGGUCUUCGGAUCGUAAAACUCUGUUAUUAGGGAAGAACAUAUGUGUAAGUAACUGUGCACAUCUUGACGGUACCUAAUCAGAAAGCCACGGCUAACUACGUG
rnacentral:rRNA from 1 species